ensembl:lncRNA
CGAUUCCGAAGAAGUAAAACAUUAACAUCUGGCACAUGAUAAUGGCACCAUUGCCAGAAAAUAACUUAGCAUUUGUUUUUUGAAGUGUUUCUUGCACAGAGAUUGAGGUUCUCUGUCCAACUUUCAAAACAUGUAUUUUUACUGCUCUAAUUACAUUGGUAACCCAUUUAUAAUAUCAAUAAGGCACCUCAGGAGUUUGUGGUAGGCCAAUAUAUAGUGCAUUCAGAAUAUUUUCAGACCUUGUCUUUUUCCAAAUUUUGUUACGUUACAGCCUUAUUCAAAAAUGUAUUUUAAAAAAAUCCCUUAUCAAUCUACACAUAAUAACCCAUAAUGACAAAGCAAAAACAGUUUUUUUGAAAUGUUUGUAAAUGUAUAUAUUCUUUUUUACUAAAAUAUUAUAUUUACAUAACUAUUCAGACCCUUUACUCAGUACUUUGUUGAAGCAUCUUUGACAGCGAUUACAGCCUUGAGUCUUCUUGGGUAUGACGCUACAAGCUUGGCACAUCUGUAUUUGGGGCGUUUCUCCCAUUUUUCUCUGCAGAUCCUCUCAAGCUGAUGGGGAGCGUCACUGCACAACUAUUAUCAGGUCUCUCCAGAGAUAUUUGAUUGGGUUCAAUUCCGGGCUCUGGUUGGGCCACUCAAGGACAUUCAGAGACUACUCCAGAAGCCACUCCUGCGUUGUCUUGGUCGUUGUCCUGUUGGAAGGUGAACCUUCGCCCCAGUCUGUGGUCCUGAAUGCUCUGGAGAAGGUUUUCAUCAAGGAUCUCUCUGUACUUUGCUCUGUUCAUCCUUCCCUCGAUCCUGACUAGUCUCUCAGUCCCUGGCGCUGAAAAACAUAUCCACAGCAUGAUGCUGCCACCACCAUGCUUCACUGUAGGGAUGGUGCUAGGUUUCCUCCAGAUGUGACGCUUGGCAUUCAGGCCAAAGAGUUCAAUCUUGGUUUUAAUCUGGUUUCUUAUGGUCUGAGUCCUUUAGGUGCUGUCACGCUUUUUACUGAGGAGUGGCUUCCAACUGGCCAUUCUACCAUAAAGGCCUGAUUGGUGGAGUGCUGCAGAGUUGGUUGUCCUUCUGGAAGUUUCUCCCAUCUCCACAGAGGAACUCUGGAGCUCUGUCAGAGUGACCAUCGGGCUCUUGGUCACCUCCCUGAGCAAGGCCCUUCUCCCCCGAUUGCUCAGUUUUGCCAGGCGGCCAGCUCUAGGAAGAGUCUUGGAGGUUCCAACCUUCUUCCAUUUAAGUGUGAUGGAGGCCAGUGUGUUCUUGGAGACCUUCAAUGCUGCAGACAUUUUUUGCUACCCUUCCCGAGAUCUGUGCCUCGACACAAUCCUGUCUUGGGGCUCAAUUUCUUCAACCUCGUGGCUUGGUUUUUGCUCUGUAACGUAGCAAAAUGUGGGAAAAGGGAAGGGGUCUGAAUACUUUCUGAAUGCACUGUACCAUGGCUAAGGGCUGUGUCCUAAGAACAACAAUUAGCCAUGGUAUAUUGGCCAUAUACCACACCUCCUCAGGCCUUGUUGCUUAAUCAUAGCAGUCAAAACAAGUUAACUCGACAUCCAUUGACGGAAAAUUAUCUGGCGAGUUAAGGGCAAAUUAUAUUUUCUCUUGCAACAUAUUUUUCAUUUUUAAGCUCUCAAUCAUUACUAUUUUGAUGGAAAACCACAUUUUGCUUCUUAGCCUAUGUCAUUAGAAAUUACUUAGAUUUCCUUCUUAAAAUGCUUGACAACCUUAUGGAUAAAGGGUUCAUAAAAUAAAUGUGGCAGCUCCUCUCUUGCUUCGAAAACAAAAUGUUGGGCUAGUUUUCAGGCUUCGUGAGCGGGUUUUGAUAGAUCAUUGAGCUAGAAAUUUCAACUGGACUUGGCAACCCUGAGUAGGAGGUAUCUUUGAAAGUGAACGUAGCCUAUUACAGUUUCGUCUUUGUCGGACCUAAAUCUUUGUACGGCCUUGUCUCUAGUCUAGACAAAUAUGUAGAAUUUGAACUGUGACACUUGAGUUAUUAUUUUUGUCCCUAGUGUUGUGUUAUGUGUAUUUUGAAUGAAUAAAUAUGUUUUAGUCAAUUGAAUCGGCUUAAGUGAGACAAAAAGUGCAUUUAGUAGCAGAGAGGUUUCCAAACAAGCUCACCUGAAACAGAAAAUGUCAGUAUUUCUGAAUUUCUUCAUGGUAAGAGAGACCUACACGCAAGUGGCAACAAGUCUGUCAUUUACAUGCAUUUCAUCUAUUGUCAAUAUUUAACCUUCAUCUACAGGUGUAUGUUUAUUUAUUUUUUACAUCCACAGGUAUGUGCUGUCUGGCACUGGUCAAGUAGCCAUUGACUUUGGACUGUGACCCUGAACCUGUACUCCUGAGGUUCUCCAGGAUGGUAGGGUGAGGGGCUGACAUGAUGGAACAUGAUUGAGGAGGCACAAUAUCAGAUGUCACUUUUCCAUUUGGAGAGGGGAUGUCUGGCUGAGGAAGAAGUAGUAUCUCUGUGUCUGAUGAGGGAGAGGAGGCUUUCUAUAUGCCUGAAAGGAGACCCUCCCUGGACCUGGGCAAUGGCCUGAGACCCAUGUACACGGCGCAUGUCACGUGUCCACAGUAAUGUUUCCUGUUUGAUGAUCCUUUCAUCAUCCAUCCUCAAUCAUUGAUAUUUGGUGUGUGUUUAGUAGGCAUGAAAAGGAAAAGGGCUCGAUCAUUGUCCAUGUGAUGUUCUAUGUACAGAGUCCAGCAGCAAAGAACAGAGUCGUACUCCAGCUGCUACUCUGUGGACAGUUGACUGUGAGAUCAAAUCAAAUUUUAUUUGUCACAUACACAUGGUUAGCAGAUGUUAAUGCGAGUGUAGCGAAAUGCUUGUAACCAGAAACAGGAAGUAAGAACAGUCCUCCAUGUUUGAUCAGUCACAGACAGGAUGCAAACUAUGUUUAAGUGUGUUUUUAUGGUGUAAUUAUGUAUAUGUUUAUGUGAGUAUUUGUUGCUGGGUUUAGUGGGAAUAUAAUGUGGAUGUAUGUCCAUUUGUUUACAAAAUGGUCAUAUCUAUGUUUAGGCUCAUGCACCAGUAUGUGUAGUAGUUUCAUCUCCCACUACCUCUCUAGGUCUCAAAGUUUCUUGCAGUGGAACUUCCUCCAAGACCAGAGCUGAUCAAAAACCCAGAUGAGAAGAGGCACCCUGCCCUGACUGUAGACUUCACCUUCAAGGCCACCAGGAAGACACUGGGGAAGGAAGUUUAAGAUCAUGCUGUGGAAGCGUUACCCAGAGUUGUUGUUCAGUGCUCCUCCCCAGGGCAUGGACAUGGUGACUUGUUGGACAGGCUGCUGGAGUAUUAUGACCUAGGGGUGGCCCUGCAGCUCACCAAGGCCCUGUCGGAGGACAUGGGCCUCAAGCGCCUGGCUGACUUCCCCAGGGACAUUUGCAAAAGAAGUAUGCACAUCUUCUUUAUUUUAUUUGAUGAAUGUAAUAUACACUGAGCAAAAAUAUCAACGCAACAUGUACAGUGUUGGUGUCAUGUUUCAUAAGCUGAAAUAAAAGAUCCCAGAAAUGUUCC